GAUGAACGCUAGCGGCAGGCUUAACACAUGCAAGUCGAGGGGCAGCAUGACACGGAGAUUCGUCGAAGUGUCGAUGGCGACCGGCGCAAGGGUGCGUAACGCGUGAGCAACUUGCCCGUUUCUGGGGAAUAACCGUUGGAAACGACGACUAAUACCCCAUAGCAUUGGUUUGAGGCAUCUCUUACCAAUUAAAGAACUUCGGAAACGGAUAGGCUCGCGUGACAUUAGCUAGAUGGCGGGGUAACGGCCCACCAUGGCUACGAUGUCUAGGGGUUCUGAGAGGAAGGUCCCCCACACUGGAACUGAGACACGGUCCAGACUCCUACGGGAGGCAGCAGUGGGGAAUAUUGGGCAAUGGGCGCAAGCCUGACCCAGCAACGCCGCGUGAAGGAAGAAGGCUUUCGGGUUGUAAACUUCUUUUAUAAGGGACGAAACAAAUGGGACGGUACCUUAUGAAUAAGCCACGGCUAACUACGUG
rnacentral:rRNA from 1 species